rnacentral:rRNA from 1 species
GAUGAACGCUGGCGGCGUGCCUAAUACAUGCAAGUCGAGCGAAUGGAUUAAGAGCUUGCUCUUAUGAAGUUAGCGGCGGACGGGUGAGUAACACGUGGGUAACCUGCCCAUAAGACUGGGAUAACUCCGGGAAACCGGGGCUAAUACCGGAUAACAUUUUGAACCGCAUGGUUCGAAAUUGAAAGGCGGCUUCGGCUGACACUUAUGGAUGGACCCGCGUCGCAUUAGCUAGUUGGUGAGGUAACGGCUCACCAAGGCAACGAUGCGUAGCCGACCUGAGAGGGUGAUCGGCCCCGCUGGGACUGAGACACGGCCCAGACUCCUACGGGAGGCAGCAGUAGGGAAUCUUCCGCAAUGGACGAAAGUCUGACGGAGCAACGCCGCGUGAGUGAUGAAGGCUUUCGGGUCGUAAAACUCUGUUGUUAGGGAAGAACAAGUGCUAGUUGAAUAAGCUGGCACCUUGACGGUACCUAACCAGAAAGCCACGGCUAACUACGUGCCAGCCGCCGCGGUAA